CUUUGUGGUUUGGGUCAAUCUUAGUGGCUUUAGCCAAAUUUGUGUGGAGAAAGCUCUUCACCAAGUAAGCUCUUAGUUUGAUUUUGUAAUUUUCUAAUAUGAAGAUUAGUAGAUUGAUCAGCAUUGUCGGAAGAUGUAGGUUCCUUGAAGAAGAAUAUAUGCUUCCCUUGAAAUUAGUAUGUAUAGUGAUGAAGAAAUGAGAGUUUUGGAUCGAAUCAAAGAUUUAGCAGAAAUUAAGUUUAGAGUAAUUAGUACUUGGCAUCUACUACAUGGAUGCCUAGUAACUGGGAUGAAAAUGACUUUGAUGAAGAAGAGGACAAAAAAGAAGAUAACCAUGAAGAAAUGCAUCUCAAUGUGGAGAACAUAUGUUAUAAGGGUUACCACAAAAUUGAGUAAGGAAGCUGUAAUGGCAAAGCUGAAGUAAAGGAAGUAUAGUUCCUUCAUCAUAGUUGUAUUUGUCAAGUGGAGUAUGCAUUAGA